GAUGAACGCUGGCGGCGUGCCUAAUACAUGCAAGUAGAACGCUGAAGGAGGAGCUUGCUCUUCUGGAUGAGUUGCGAACGGGUGAGUAACGCGUAGGUAACCUGCCUGGUAGCGGGGGAUAACUAUUGGAAACGAUAGCUAAUACCGCAUGACAACAGUUAUUGCAUGAUAACUGUUUAAAAGGGGCAACUGCUCCACUACCAGAUGGACCUGCGUUGUAUUAGCUAGUUGGUGAGGUAACGGCUCACCAAGGCGACGAUACAUAGCCGACCUGAGAGGGUGAUCGGCCACACUGGGACUGAGACACGGCCCAGACUCCUACGGGAGGCAGCAGUAGGGAAUCUUCGGCAAGGGACGGAAGUCUGACCGAGCAACGCCGCGUGAGUGAAGAAGGUUUUCGGAUCGUAAAGCUCUGUUGUAAGAGAAGAACGAGUGUGAGAGUGGAAAGUUCACACUGUGACGGUAUCUGACCAGAAAGGGACGGCUAACUACGUG
rnacentral:rRNA from 1 species